UACGAAGGGGGCUAGCGUUGCUCGGAAUCACUGGGCGUAAAGCGCACGUAGGCGGAUUGUUAAGUCAGGGGGUGAAAUCCUGGAGCUCAACUCCAGAACUGCCUUUGAUACUGGCGAUCUUGAGUCCGGGAGAGGUGAGUGGAACUGCGAGUGUAGAGGUGAAAAUUCGUAGAUAUUCGCAAGAACACCAGUGGCGAAGGCGGCUCACUGGCCCGGUACUGACGCUGAGGUGCGAAAGCGUGGGGAGCAACAGGGAUUAAGAA
rnacentral:rRNA from 1 species